UUUCUACUCCCUCCGUCCGAAAAUACUUGUCAUCAAAAUGGAUAAAAAGAGAUGUAUCUAAAACUAAAAUACGUCUAGAUACAUUUCCUUUCAUCCAUUUUGAUGACAAGUAUUUCCGGAUGGAGGGAGUAUUUG
rnacentral:pre_miRNA from 1 species